rnacentral:miRNA from 1 species
CCUUUCUCGGGUAAGCUAAAUU